CUUCACUUCAACUUCACUACUUCUGUAGUCUCAUCUUGAGUAAAAGAACCCAGCCAACUAUGAAGUUCCUUGUCUUUGCCUUCAUCUUGGCUCUCAUGGUUUCCAUGAUUGGAGCUGAUUCAUCUGAAGAGAAAUUUUUGCGUAGAAUUGGAAGAUUCGUAUGGGUAUGGCCCUUAUCAGCCAGUUCCAGAACAACCACUAUACCCACAACCAUACCAACCACAAUACCAACAAUAUACCUUUUAAUAUCAUCAGUAACUGCAGGACAUGAUUAUUGAGGCUUGAUUGGCAAAUACGACUUCUACAUCCAUAUUCUCAUCUUUCAUACCAUAUCACACUACUACCACUUUUUGAAGAAUCAUCAAAGAGCAAUGCAAAUGAAAAACACUAUAAUUUACUGUAUACUCUUUGUUUCAGGAUACUUGCCUUUUCAAUUGUCACUUGAUGAUAUAAUUGCAAUUUAAACUGUUAAGCUGUGUUCAGUACUGUUUCUGAAUAAUAGAAAUCACUUCUCUAAAAGCAAUAAAUUUCAAGCACAUUUUU
rnacentral:lncRNA from 1 species